rnacentral:tRNA from 1 species
GAAGCUGUAGCUCAGUGGUAAAGCACCUGCCUAGCAGGCAGGAGGUCCUGGGUUCGAUCCCCAGCACCUCCA